CAUCAGGGGCCUCAGGAUUUAAAAGAAGCUGCAGCAACCUUCAGAGCCUGUCGCAGACGUGGGUGGUGACUGUCAGCGGAGGUUCUCAAAUCAUUGGUGACAUAAGUGAGACAACAUUAACUACACAACAGACUAUGUCAAACAAACAAGCUUGUGUUUCACACAUGAGACUAGAAGGUGUCCUCAACCAGGCACACCCACCGUCACCUGACACGCAGUAGGGGCACCUGGGCGAUGCGAAGUGUAUCAAGCGUGGCAUGUUCUGUAGCAUCUCCAUCUCCAUGCCCCUUGGAAAGCAAACCACC
rnacentral:lncRNA from 1 species